rnacentral:rRNA from 1 species
AGGCUGCAACUCGCCUACAUGAAGCUGGAAUUGCUAGUAAUCAUAGGUCAGCAUACUAUGGUGAAUACGUUCCCGGGCCUUGUACACACCGCCCGUCACACCAUGAGAGUUGAGAAUACCCGAAGUCCAUGUUAAAGUGGCCGAAGGUAGGCUUGAUGAUUGGGGUGAAGUCGUAACAAGGUACC